GUUCCCCCAUGGUUUUGCAACGGUCGCACAAUACUCCAUCCCCAAAAAGGAGACUUGACUGAUCCCCCAAACUUCCGCCCUAUCACAUUAUCACUAAUUUGUCAC